rnacentral:tRNA from 1 species
CUUACUUUAGUUUAAUUAGAACAAGGGUUUUGGGGAUCUUAGGUCUCUUAUUUAGAGAAGUUUGG